AAGCAACACUCUGUGGCAGAUGAUGGAGUUGUCUGACACAAUUUGAGCUUGCUAUAGCAAGAAAGUCUAACCUAUUCCAGUGUUCUCCUCAAUGAGACCAACUGUUAUAUAGACUUAAACAAC
rnacentral:snoRNA from 1 species